rnacentral:lncRNA from 1 species
GGAGGAGCUAAGAUGAGAGGUGGAGAGAUGAUUCUCCUCUAUCUGACUGGAACAGUGGGACGUCUUCAGUUUUUCUUCCUGAUAACACACUGUUACACCCAUCACCAUGUUUCUCUACCCAGUGUUUCUCCUCUCUGCACAUGUUGGUGACAGUAAUGGUCAGAUCAUUAAGCCAAUCUCUUCUGCUGAAGUGAGAGACUCUGCAAUGUACUAUUGUGCUGUGACAGGAACCCAGAAACUCUGUACUAAAACCUUUCCUUAUACUUUCAAAUGUAGAUAUAAAAUGUAAUUGAUUUAAUGUAGUCAGUAGGAGGAGCUAAAGCUAAGGAUUAGAUAAUGAAUCAUUGUGAUAAGACAUGAUUCUCCCUACAUUAAUAAAAUCAAUCUAAGCAGGAGGAAGAGCAGCAACAGUUGAAGACUCUUCAAACACAGUAUGUGGAAAGAACAGUGAUCAGUCUGAUUUGUUGCCUUUUAUUGUCAGUUUGUCUAACUUACAAAGAACAUUGUUACUUUUUUCAAUUUUACUGUUCACAACAAUUACAGGUAAGAGACAGCAUUUGUUAUAUAAAUAUUGUCUAUUUUAUGUGUAUUUAAUAAUAAUAAUAAAAAUGCAGUAUCCAAGGAAAUUAUAUCAAUCUUCCAUGUGGAUUUCGGGUUUAUGUUUAAAUUCUGAAGAGGUAAUUACACCCUAUACUGAUGCAGUGCUGGCUUUGGACACGGACAGAGUUACUCUCUCUUGUAACUACACUGCUGGUGACACUCUUCAAUGGUAUCAACAAUAUCCCAAAUCACCACCACAGUUAUUGGUUAUGGAGUUAA